rnacentral:rRNA from 1 species
UACGAAGGGGGCGAGCGUUGUUCGGAUUUACUGGGCGUAAAGGGCGCGCAGGCGGCUCAUUUUGUCAGGCGUGAAGCCCCGGGCUUAACCUGGACUGCGUUUGAUACGGGUGGGCUAGAGUUCGGGAGAGGAGAGUGGAAUUCCCAGUGUAGAGGUGAAAUUCGUAGAUAUUGGGAAGAACACCAACGGCGAAAGCACUUUGCUGGGCCGACACUGACACUGAGAGACGAAAAGCUAGGGGAGCGAAUGG